rnacentral:rRNA from 1 species
GACGGAGGAUGCAAGUGUUAUCCGGAAUCACUGGGCGUAAAGCGUCUGUAGGUGGUCAAAUAAGUCAACUGUUAAAUCUUGAGGCUCAACCUCAAAAUCGCAGUCGAAACUAUUAGACUAGAGUAUAGUAGGGGUAAAGGGAAUUUCUAGUGGAGCGGUGAAAUGCGUAGAGAUUGGAAAGAACACCGAUGGCGAAGGCACUUUACUGGGCUAUUACUAACACUCAGAGACGAAAGCUAGGGUAGCAAAUGGG